rnacentral:rRNA from 1 species
AAUUGAGACAGGUGGUGGCAUGGUUGUCGUCAGCUCGUGUCGUGAGAUGUUGGGUUAAGUCCCGCAACGAGCGCAACCUUGUGUUUAGUUGCAAACAGGUCAAGCUGUGCACUCUAGACAGACUGCCGUGGACAACACGGAGGAAGGUGGGGAUGACGUCAAAUCAUCAUGCCCCUUAUGAUCUGGGCUACACACGUGCUACAAUGGCCGGUACAACGGGCAGCGAAGGAGCGAUCCGGAGCGAAUCCUAAAAAGCCGGUCCCAGUUCGGAUUGCAGGCUGAAACUCGCCUACAUGAAGUUGGAGUUGCUAGUAAUCGCGAAUCAGAAUGUCGCGGUGAAUGCGUUCCCGGGUCUU